rnacentral:misc_RNA from 1 species
GAUGAGAACGCAGCGAAAUGCGAUAAGUAAUGUGAAUUGCAGAAUUCAGUGAAUCAUCGAAUCUUUGAACGCACAUUGCGCCCGCCAGUAUUCUGGCGGGCAUGCCUGUUCGAGCGUCAUUUCAACCAUCAAGCCCUGCUUGCGUUGGGGUCCUGCGGCUGCCCGCAGGCCCUGAAAACCAGUGGCGGGCUCGCUAGUCACACCGAGCGCAGUAAUACAUCUCGCUUUGGGCGUGCGGCGGGUUCUUGCCGUUAAACACCCCCUUUUUACCAAGGUUGACCUCGGAUCAGGUAGGAAUACCCGCUGAACUUAAGCAUAUCAAUAAGCGGAGGA